UAUACCAGUGACAUGUCAUGAAUCAAGGCUCAUGACUAAUCCAAUUCUGCCUACCUAAGAUCUAUU
rnacentral:snoRNA from 10 species